rnacentral:tRNA from 1 species
GGGGAAUUAGCUCAAGUGGUAGAGCGCUCGCUUAGCAUGUGAGAAGUACAGGGAUCGAUACCCUGAUUCUCCA